rnacentral:rRNA from 1 species
UACGUAGGGACCAAGCGUUGUCCGGAAUCAUUGGGCGUAAAGCGCGUGUAGGCGGCCCGAUAAGUCCGCUGUGAAAGUCCAGGGCUCAACCCUGGAAUGCCGGUGGAUACUGUCGGGCUAGAGUCCGGAAGAGGCGAGUGGAAUUCCUGGUGUAGCGGUGAAAUGCGCAGAUAUCAGGAGGAACACCAAUGGCGAAGGCAGCUCGCUGGGACGGUACUGACGCUGAGACGCGAAAGCGUGGGGAGCAAACAGG